rnacentral:lncRNA from 1 species
GUGCUAUCCAGGACCUCGGCUCUACGGCCAUUGGUCGACGGCUCGCGUCCCGAGCGCGCCCAUUGGCCGUGGGGGGCGUUCACGUGAAAGGGGUUCCGGGAUGGCUUCCCAAGUGGGGAGAGGUGCUGGAAAGUUAAAGGGAGCAGCGCGGCGGCAGGGAGCCUGAGUCCCGGUGACCGGCCACUGGGAGGAGGCGAGCGGGCUGCUCUCGAGCAAGGACGGAUGCGUCUGCCCUCCAAGGGCGCGGACCUGAGUCCCGGCCCCCACUCCUGCCGUCGCCGCCGCUGCCCCUGCCAUCCCCGCGCGGAUGCCGCCGCGGUCUGGCGCAUCUGUACAUCGGGACUUAUGAGCUGUACCAGGUACGUCCGUCCCCAAGCCCUCGAGUCCCAGUGCAGGGCCGAGAAACGGCGGCGAGGGACGCGCAGUAGAGACCUUCUUUGAUUCCUGCCACCUGCACUUUUACCGUCCAACUUGCAGUUACACUCCGGGGGUGGAACACUCUAGACGGGGUCGAGGACGCUAUUGCUUCCAGGUGGAAAGAGCAGUCCAGGGACGAGCGGGGGGGAUGGAGCAUGGCCGGAUCCACGUGUUCCGCCGAAGUGCAGGUCUGGCCGCCAGGGUAGUUGGGGGUGGCUGGGGCUGGGACUACUGUGCCGAGUUCGAACCUGAGACAAGGCGCUUCCAGCCUGGGACCCGACACUUCCGGAGGGUGUUCCCGAAGUUGGGCGGUGGGGAUUGGAGGACAAGGAAAAGUCGCCUUGUCUUUCCCCGGUUUUGGCUUCCCCGUAAUACGCAAGGAAACACACUUGGGAGUCUCUUGGGCCGCCGAGGGCGAUGGGACACAGACCCAGCCCCGGUUCACGGUCUCAGGUCCCCAGGCAGAGGCUGGCUGUCCCGGGCCGGCGGGGGCGAAGCGGCCGCGCGGGGACGCUCGCGCGGCGAGGCUCCGACCGGGGGUUGCCCCGCCGCCCCGCCCUGGUGUGAUAACUUGGGCUCCUCCUCCUCGUCGUCCUCCUCCCCCUGCCGGUCAUAUCUCCGGGAACGGAGCGUCAGCCCUGCCUCCCGGACACACGACGCUCACGUAGUCCGGUGGCGGUCGCCUCCCCUGCCACCUCCCUCCAGGCUCUCCGAUGCAGCAGCGAGCCAGCUGGAGAGGGGGCUUCCCCACGCCCCAAAAGAGUUC